rnacentral:rRNA from 1 species
CCUACGGGAGGCAGCAGUGGGGAAUAUUGCGCAAUGGGCGAAAGCCUGACGCAGCAACGCCGCGUGAAUGAUGAAGGUCUUCGGAUUGUAAAGUUCUUUUCUAAGGGAAGAAGAAAGUGACGGUACCUUAGGAAUAAGCCUCGGCUAACUACGUGCCAGCAGCCGCGGUAAUACGUAGGAGGCAAGCGUUAUCCGGAAUGACUGGGCGUAAAGGGUGCGUAGGUGGUUUGACAAGUUGGUAGCGUAACUCCGAGGCUUAACCUCGGCACUACUACCAAAACUGUUGGACUCGAGUGCAGGAGGGGCAAAUGGAAGUCCUGGUGUAGCGGUGGAAUGCGUAGAUAUUAGGAGGAACACCAGUGGCGAAGGCGAUUUGCUGGACUGUAACUGACACUGAGGCACGAAAGCGUGGGGAGCAAACAGGAUUAGAUACCCCAGUAGUC